rnacentral:rRNA from 1 species
UACGUAGGGUGCGAGCGUUGUCCGGAAUUAUUGGGCGUAAAGGGCUCGUAGGCGGUUUGUCGCGUCGGGAGUGAAAACCUCGGGCUUAACUCGGGGCUUGCUUUCGAUACGGGCAGACUGGAGGUAUGCAGGGGAGAACGGAAUUCCUGGUGUAGCGGUGAAAUGCGUAGAUAUCAGGAGGAACACCGGUGGCGAAGGCGGUUCUCUGGGCAUGACCUGACGCUGAGGAGCGAAAGUGUGGGGAGCGAACAGG